GUGGGGAAUAUUGGACAAUGGGCGAAAGCCUGAUCCAGCGACGUCGCGUGAGUGAAGAAGGCCUUCGGGUUGUAAAGCUCUUUCAGUAGGGAAGAUAAUGACGGUACCUACAAAAGAAGCUCCGGCUAACUUCGUGCCAGCAGCCGCGGUAAUACGAAGGGAGCUAGCGUUACUCGGAAUUAUUGGGCGUAAAGCGUACGUAGGCGGCUUAGUAAGUUGGGAGUAAAAUCCUUGGGCUUAACUCAAGAAUUGCUUUCAAAACUACUAAGCUAGAGUAUCAGAGAGGAUGGCGGAAUUCCUAGUGUAGAGGUGAAAUUCGUAGAUAUUAGGAGGAACACCGGUGGCGAAAGCGGCCAUCUGGCUGAUUACUGACGCUGUUGUACGAAAGCGUGGGGAGCAA
rnacentral:rRNA from 1 species